CAGAUAUCUUAAAAUUCAAAAAUAUACCAUAGACAAAAGCUUCAAUCUUUUAUCAGUUUUGCUUAGGGAUGAACCACGCAGGUGGCGAACCUCAUAGAUUUGAAGCAUGUUUUUGUGAAAUAUUGUUUUAUGUCCAUUACUGUAGAAAUAUGAUUCGUAAAUUGGAAAUUAGCAACUUAUUUGAAUGGUCACCACUAUCAUUUUUCCUAACAAUAAUUAUAUCAAAGUAAACUAAAUCUGAAUUGAAAAGCGG
rnacentral:lncRNA from 1 species